GCAAGUCGAGCGAACAGAUAAGGAGCUUGCUCCUUUGACGUUAGCGGCGGACGGGUGAGUAACACGUGGGUAACCUACCUAUAAGACUGGGAUAACUUCGGGAAACCGGAGCUAAUACCGGAUAACAUUUGGAACCGCAUGGUUCUAAAGUGAAAGAUGGUUUUGCUAUCACUUAUAGAUGGACCCGCGCCGUAUUAGCUAGUUGGUAAGGUAACGGCUUACCAAGGCGACGAUACGUAGCCGACCUGAGAGGGUGAUCGGCCACACUGGAACUGAGACACGGUCCAGACUCCUACGGGAGGCAGCAGUAGGGAAUCUUCCGCAAUGGGCGAAAGCCUGACGGAGCAACGCCGCGUGAGUGAUGAAGGGUUUCGGCUCGUAAAACUCUGUUAUUAGGGAAGAACAAACGUGUAAGUAACUGUGCACGUCUUGACGGUACCUAAUCAGAAAGCCACGGCUAACUACGUGCCAGCAGCCGCGGUAAUACGUAGGUGGCAAGCGUUAUCCGGAAUUAUUGGGCGUAAAGCGCGCGUAGGCGGUUUCUUAAGUCUGAUGUGAAAGCCCACGGCUCAACCGUGGAGGGUCAUUGGAAACUGGGAAACUUGAGUGCAGAAGAGGAAAGUGGAAUUCCAUGUGUAGCGGUGAAAUGCGCAGAGAUAUGGAGGAACACCAGUGGCGAAGGCGACUUUCUGGUCUGUAACUGACGCUGAUGUGCGAAAGCGUGGGGAUCAAACAGGAUUAGAUACCCUGGUAGUCCACGCCGUAAACGAUGAGUGCUAAGUGUUAGGGGGUUCCGCCCCUUAGUGCUGCAGCUAACGCAUUAAGCACUCCGCCUGGGGAGUACGACCGCAGGUGAAACUCAAAGAAUGACGGGGACCGCACACCGGUGGGAGCAUGUGGUUAAUUCGAGCA
rnacentral:rRNA from 1 species